rnacentral:lncRNA from 1 species
CAACCAGCAACCAAGUGAAACUAAGAGGCAAUAAGCGACGGCUGAAUUGUGGGUCUCUCUUUCUUGGAAUUUUCCCUAGUUUGGCUAUCCAUGUCAAUAGACAGCUAAAAAGAAUAGAGUACAAAUGUUACAAUGACUGAAUGACGUGGAAAUUGAUGAUUGAAAAAUUUCAGACUUUUUUGUCUUUAUCAUCUGUUGUGACCCUUAGUUCAUGAAAGUGAGGUACAAGGGCCGACCUAACUAGUUUUUUUGUGCAAAUCGAGGAUCUGUAGAAAAGAUUGUAGUUAAGAUUUUCGAGGGGGAACAUCACUGUCACAGUGUUUUUCUGGAGUAUAGAAUAUGUGUCCAGUUGCAUAGUGUAUUCAUCACAUAUUUUGUUUGUGGACGUAGUCUUCGUUAAGUAUGAGCCAAACCACCUUUACUUUUAUGAUUUUGUUAGAUGCUUUUGUAUAUUUUCCUCUUUUAUUCUCACGUAUUCUGCUUCGUGGAUAAAACACGCUGUGUUGAUUAUGAUAGAUGUUGACCUUAGGCAUUCUGCUUGUUUAAUUUGUAAUUUUUUUUUUCUGUUCAUAUUUUUCAAGAUUAAGCAAGAUUAUUUGUUAUUUUUACCUCUGUAACCCAAUGCUGAUAUGCUGCCUGGUGGUUCAAACUUCCAUCUUCUCAAGCUAAUGCAGUAAAAGAUUCCCAGCAGUCAGGAGCUUCUGGGAACUUAAAUGGAGAUGUUGAUGAAGAAUGGUUGAACAUUUCGCAAAUGCAUGAGAGGUAAUUUCAUACUGUGAUGGAUACUGGAUGUAUCUUUUCUUAUGCUACAGUCCAAAUUCAGUCAAUAGUUGAUUGAAAUCUUUUCAGUUAAACUUAUGGAGUUGUCUUGGAUGCGCAUUUUACCCAAGGAUAAUCUGGAUUCAUGAUUAUUGUGCUUUUAGAGUUGCAAGAUAGACUGUCAAAACAAGAGAGUGAUCUCUAGAAAGCUUACUGUUGUAUAACUUCCUUGUGUAGGGAUCUUACCUUUCAUUGACUAUACAAAUUUGAAACUACAUUAGUGGUAAUAGCAUCUCAGAGUUUUAGUAAACUAAAUUUGUUUCUCACACCUUAAAGGAAAAGUAAAACCCAAAGCCUUGCUAAAAAAGACUGAAGAGGGAAAGUGAGGUUGUUGACCAGCUUACUGCACUAUGAUGCAAAAUUUUUUCACAUAAUCACAAUUGCAUAGGGUGUUUGACAUUAUUGGGCCACAAUUUGUUACACACCACGAUUUCUUCUUGUUAUGCUUUGGCUUUUCAUGCUAUUACCUCUUUUUGCACAUUUAAAAAAUGAAGAGUUCAACAAGUUCCAUUUUCGUUGUACUUUGUUUUACAUUCAAGCAUCCUUUUGUAUUUUCCUUAUGUGUUCUUUUAUUGUCCGCGACUCCCCAUAAACCUGGAUAUCCAAAUUGUUGAAUCCUUAUGUGUGACUCAGUAUUGAAAUAUGCAUUAUAUGUGUCUUCGGAAUUGAAGUUGCAUUUUCUUUGGUUAUAUUGUUUGAUUACAUGUUGCAGUCUUGACUUUUCUGGAAUAAUUGUAUUCCAUUGUCAAUUUACAUUUCAUUUGUUAUGACCUUAGUCAUAGUGAUAUAGUUAAUUUUCUUAUCUUGCAGAAUGACCUCUUUCAGAAACAAAUCGAUUGAUAAAUGGCAGAGGAAGACACAAGUCAC